CCUACGGGAGGCAGCAGUGGGGAAUCUUGCACAAUGGGCGAAACCCUGAUGCAGCGACGCCGCGUGAAGGAAGAAGGCUUUCGGUAUGUAAACUUCUUUUAGCAGGGAGGAAAAUGACGGUAACUGAUUAAGAAGCAUCGGCUAACUACGUGCCAGCAGCCGCGGUCAUACGUAGGGGGCAAGCGUUAUCCGGAUUUACUGGGUGUAAAGGGAGCGUAGGCGGGGAUGAAAGUUAGAAGUGAAAGUCCGGGGCUAAACACCGUGACUGCUAGUGAAACUGUGUUGCUAGAGUGCAGGAGAGGUAAGUGGAAUUCCUAGUGUAGCAGUGAAAUGCGUAGAUAUUAGGAGGAACACCAGUGGCGAAGGCGGGUUGCUGGACUGUAAAUGACGCUGAGGCACGAAAGCGUGGGGAGCAAACGGGAUUAGAUACCCGAGUAGUC
rnacentral:rRNA from 1 species